ensembl:lncRNA
AUGCCUCGCGAAAAGAGUGUUAAAGUGAAAGAAGUUAUUACUUCUCUCUGUAAAUUACUGUCUGUAUUAAGCGUCGAGUCGAUACCAACAGCUGAGGCAUUCAGGAGAGCCAAAUUCAACAGAAAAGAUGCGGCAGAGGACAUGUGGAGUUUGCUAAGCAGGCUUUUGCAGAAAGCUUUUGCUCUGGAUUGUGCAUGCUGGGACUUCAGAGACCAAGACUAUGAUAUGCAGCUGUUGUUUGUCAGGAGUGCUCUGUGUUACUGUGGCUAUGGGGCCCCGUGGGUGGUGGGGCCCUGGUCUCCCAGUCACAUAGAAGAGGUGCGGAGCCGCGAUUUGCUCCUGGCGUUCGGCUGGGUGCUGUCAUCAGGGAAUCUGCUAGACUUCAUGCUGGCUGAGAAGGUUCAUCAGUUUGACACACUCUCAUCUGCACCAUUGAUCCCCCAAGGUCUAAUACUUGGACAGCCUGACGUAGCGGCACAUGGACCAGGAGAGGAUGCCUCAGUGAAGAAGGACCCGGUACUACAGGCACUGCAGUGGGAGUAUGGGAAACUCAGACUUCAGUGGAAGAGCUUACUCUCAGCCCAAGAGGAGAGGUCCAAAUUCACUCAUAGGGUUAUCUCCAGUAUCAGCCCCUCUGCUGUCUGUCAGCCUCACAUCACUGGUUCCCAUCACAGCAACACGACAUCAACUGCUCUUGACAAGGACAGCGUGAUCGACAGCUCCCUCGCUGAUGCGUCCGAGGUCGAUCUUGCCGAUUGGCCACCAGGGGAGCGGGCUGUCACGGUGAGGUGUCCCCACGGAGACGAGACCAGGAGAGCAGUCAGACGACUUGACAAGAUGUUGCUAAGGCUGCAGACAGAACUGAGAGCCAGAAGAAUAGAGCAGUCCACUCUCACACUCACCUCACAGGGGGGACGUCAAGGGGCUUCUCGGCUCUCUGAAAGUCAGAGAAUAGAGGUGGAGAAGAAGGUUUCAGGCUAGUUAGAGGGUCUCCGGCUUACUAACACCUCCGCAAUCACAUCAAGAGGCUUUUUGCCAUGUCUACAGGAUCCACAGCCCACAAAGACACCUCACAGGUUCCACACUGGAGAACCUGGCCUGGACGUGACAGCUGGGAAGCUCCAGGCAUCGACAGCUCUGGAUGAGCUGAAGGAGAGGGCGGCUGUACUGCGAUGGCAGCUGGAACGAUUGAGGCAAAAUAUGAGAAUGGAAAUGCAGAGACAGGCCGGCACAAUGGAGAGGAUGGUUCUCAUCCCACCAAUUAAGAGAUAAACACAUUUUUUGUGUCACUGUAUGCACUGGGAUCCUGACAUAAAGUUGGACAGGCUGCAUUUUGAGUCCCUAAUUAAGGUGAACAUGUUAGUGUUUGAAUUACAACUCUAACUUAUGGAUGUUCUGCAUUAGAGAAUCAAUUUCUUAUGUAUUUAAAAAUGACUGCCGCUGUGUGAAUGUCUGUGUGCAUAGAAAAUAAAGAAUCUUCAAGGCCAUUUAGUCUGUACUUG